GUCCACGCCGUAAACGAUGACAACUAGCCGUCGGGCCCCUUGAGGGCUUGGUGGCGCAGCUAACGCGAUAAGUUGUCCGCCUGGGGAGUACGGCCGCAAGGUUAAAACUCAAAUGAAUUGACGGGGGCCCGCACAAGCGGUGGAGCAUGUUGUUUAAUUCGAUGCAACGCGAAGAACCUUACCACCCCUUGACAUCCUGCGAACUUUCUAGAGAUAGAUUGGUGCCUUCGGGAACGCAGUGACAGGUGCUGCAUGGCUGUCGUCAGCUCGUGUCGUGAGAUGUUGGGUUAAGUCCCGUAACGAGCGCAACCCUUGUCCUUAUUUGCCAGCGGGUCAUGCCGGGAACUCUAAGGAGACUGACGGUGACAAACCGUAGGAAGGUGGGGACGACGUCAAGUCAUCAUGGCCCUUACGGGGUGGGCUACAAACGUGCUACAAUGGUCGGUACAAAGGGCUGCGAACCAGCAAUGGUAAGCGAAUCCCAAAAAGCCGAUCGUAGUCCGGAUUGGGGUCUGCAACUCGACCCCAUGAAGUCGGAAUCGCUAGUAAUCGCGAAUCAGAAUGUCGCGGUGAAUACGUUCCCGGGCCUUGUACACUCCC
rnacentral:rRNA from 1 species